rnacentral:rRNA from 1 species
UACGGGGAGAGGCAAGCGUUGUUCGGAUUUACUGGGCGUAAAGGGCGCGUAGGCGGCGCAACAAGUCACUUGUGAAAUCUCCGGGCUUAACCCGGAGCGGUCAAGUGAUACUGUCGUGCUAGAGUGCGGAAGGGGCUACUGGAAUUCUCGGUGUAGCGGUGGAAUGCGCAGAUAUCAGGAGGAACACCGAUGGCGAAGGCAGCUCGCUGGGACGGUACUGACGCUGAGGAGCGAAAGCUAGGGGAGCAAACGGG